rnacentral:lncRNA from 1 species
GCGGGGGCCUGGGGGCGGGGCACCCGCUCGCCCGGGCCGGAGCGCGGCUCUCGCCGCUACGGGGCGCUGCAGCCGCCGCCUGCGCCCCACCGCGAGGCGAGGAGCGAGCGCGGGGACCUGGCCGCGCGGCGCGGGAGGGGGCGCCCGGCGGCGGCCUGGGCUCCCGCUGGGCCGGUCCGGGGCCUCCGGCUCCAGCGCAGGAGACGCUCCGCCCCGGGGCUGGGUCCCCGGCGCGCCCGCCCGGAUCCCGGCCUCGACGGGGGACAGGUCGGCGCCGCUGCGCGUGGACCGAGACCCCGGGACGCAGCCGAGCGCGGGCCCGGCGAGGACCCUGCACGCGGGCCCUGGACCAUGACGCGGGCCCUGGACCGGCGUUUGGGCCGACGAGUAUUUCGGGGCUCCCUUCCGGCCUGCGGGGGUUGGGAGCUGGGCUUCCCGGCGCAGGGUCGCUGUUGGUUUGGCUCGUGCUGUCGUCUGCGCCUUUCUGACUCUUGAUUGAUGGCCACGUGUCCUUCCGUUACAGCCCGUCUUCCAUUUCUUUAGGUAUUUUUGUAGCUCUUACACAGCCGAGCUCCACAUCUGUACGUCUGUCGAUCAUUCCGCAAACAGUAACUAUUGACUCUACCGCAAAUGGGUUUUUCUGUCAAAAGUUAGUCACCAAGCCAACCAGUUUCCACAAAUAGUUUCCUCAGGAGGUUCUGCUCUGAGUCCGCAGCGGCAGAUGAACUCAUCACGGUUGGAAGGAAGACAAGUCCCUCAGCGUGACAGCGGGACAGAAGCAAAAAGCAACCUCGUCUGCUGCGUAUUAAUAUGCAGAAUGCCGUUUUUGUCUUAAGCAUUGUAUUUAUGUUGAAGGCUUUUUGACUAUUGCGAUGGCUGUAGAUGGUCAUACCGGAGAGUGAAGACAUGAAGCAUUGCUUAUUAAAGACAAGAUAGGGUACAUUUAUAUGAAAUAAAUCUGCCUUCAAAUUCUGCCUUUAAAAUAUUUAUGCGGGAAUAACACGGAUUUAAU